rnacentral:rRNA from 1 species
UACGAAGGGGGCUAGCGUUGCUCGGAAUCACUGGGCGUAAAGCGCGCGUUAGGCGGACCUGCAAAGUCCGGGGGGUUGAAAGCCCGAGGCUCAACCUCGGAACUGCCUUCGAUACGUGCGGGUCUCGGAGUCCGGGAGAGGUGAGUGGAACUGCGAGUGUAAGAGGUGAAAUUCGUAGAUAUUCGCAAGAACACCAGGUGGCGAAGGCGGCUCACUGGCCCGGUACUGACGCUGGAGGUGACGGAAAGCGUGGGGAGCAAACAGG